rfam:Schistosoma haematobium scaffold509_32, whole genome shotgun sequence.
GAGUAGAGCCUGCUGUUCAAUUCGACUGAACACGGGAAAACUCACCCGGCUCGGACACUGUGAAGAUUGACAGAUUGAUAGCUCUUUCUUGAUUUAAUCGGUGGUGGUGUAUAACCAUUCUUUGUUGGUGCAGCAAUUUUUCCAGGUAAUUCCGACAAUCUGUUAAAUAGUAGACCGGUCUUCUGUGUUCGUUUAGGGCGCGGCUUCCGUUGUUUUUUCAUUUGGUAGUGUGGUCGUGACCCGGCGGGUGCGGUGCCAGUUUUUACUUCUUAGAGGGACAAGCGGCACACUUAAGUCUCAGAAAAAUGAGCAAUAACAGAUCUGUAAUGCCCUUAGAUGUCCGGGGCCACACGUGCACUAUAAAGACGGUGCCAGUGAAUCUGGAAACCUGACCCGAAAGGUUUGGGCAAACUGUUUGAUCACCGUCGUGACUAAAGCAUAGCGAAUUU